AGAGUUUGAUCCUGGCUCAGAACGAACGCUGGCGGCAGGCUUAAUACAUGCAAGUCGAACGGCUGUAGCAAUACAGCAGUGGCAGACGGGUGAGUAACACGUGGGAACCUACCUAGGGGUACGGAAUAACUCAGGGAAACUUGUGCUAAUACCGUAUACGACCUCAGGGUGAAAGAUUUAUCGCCCCUAGAUGGGCCCGCGUUGGAUUAGCUAGUUGGUGAGGUAAAAGCUCACCAAGGCGACGAUCCAUAGCUGGUCUGAGAGGAUGAUCAGCCACACUGGGACUGAGACACGGCCCAGACUCCUACGGGAGGCAGCAGUAGGGAAUCUUGGACAAUGGGCGAAAGCCUGAUCCAGCCAUGCCGCGUGAGUGAUGAAGGCCUUAGGGUUGUAAAGCCCUUUCGCCAGGGAAGAUAAUGACGGUACCUGGAUAAGAAGCCCCGGCUAACUUCGUGCCAGCAGCCGCGGUAAUACGAAGGGGGCUAGCGUUGUUCGGAAUUACUGGGCGUAAAGCGCACGUAGGCGGUUUUCCAAGUUGGAGGUGAAAUCCCCGGGCUUAACCUGNGAACUGCCUCCAAAACUGGAAAGCUCGAGUCCGAGAGAGGUGAGUGGAAUUUCCAGUGUAGAGGUGAAAUUCGUAGAUAUUGGAAAGAACACCAGUGGCGAAGGCGGCUCACUGGCUCGGUACUGACGCUGAGGUGCGACAGCGUGGGGG
rnacentral:rRNA from 1 species